rnacentral:rRNA from 1 species
GAUAAACGCUAGCGGCAGGCUUAACACAUGCAAGUCGAGGGGCAGCAUAGAUUGUAGCAAUACAAUUGGUGGCGACCGGCGCACGGGUGCGUAACGCGUAUGCAACCUACCCGUCGCAGGGGGAUAAUCUGGAGAACUCUGGUCUAAUACCCCAUCACAUAUGGAUCGGCAGCGGUUCAUGUUGAAAUUUUCGGAGGUGACGGAAGGGCAUGCGUAGCAUGGGCUUGUUGGUGAGGUAACGGCACACCAAGGCGACGAUGCUUAGGGGGACUGAGAUGUUGUCCCCCCACACUGGUACUGAGACACGGACCAGACUCCGACGUGAGGCAGCAGUGAGGAAUAUUGGUCAAUGGGCGCAAGCCUGAACCAGCCAUGCCGCGUGCAGGAUGACGGCUCGAUGAGUUGUAAACUGCUUUUGUAUGAGGGUAAAGUGGGUUACGUGUAACCUUUUGAAAGUAUCGUACGAAUAAGGAUCGGCUAACUCCGUGCCAGCAGCCGCGGUAA